AUAAUGGUGUCUUUAGACACCACCUUUUUGUCUUAGAAAUUUUGU
rfam:Picea glauca, whole genome shotgun sequence.